rnacentral:rRNA from 1 species
CAGCAGCCGCGGGAACACGAAGGGGGCUAGCGUUGUUCGGAUUAACUGGGCGUAAAGGGCGCGUAGGCGGGUUUUUAAGUCAGAGGUGAAAUCCCAAGGCUCAACCUUGGAACUGCCUUUGAUACUGGAAGUCUUGAGUCCGGGAGAGGUGAGUGGAACUGCGAGUGUAGAGGUGAAAUUCGUAGAUAUUCGCAAGAACACCAGUGGCGAAGGCGGCUCACUGGCCCGGUACUGACGCUGAGGCGCGAAAGCGUGGGGAGCAAACAGGAUUAGAUACCCCCGUAGUCCCUGUCUCUUAUAA